rnacentral:rRNA from 1 species
UUCUGGCUCAGGAUGAACGCUAGCUACAGGCUUAACACAUGCAAGUCGAGGGGCAGCAUGGCCUUAGCUUGCUAAGGCCGAUGGCGACCGGCGCACGGGUGAGUAACGCGUAUCCAACCUUCCCCUUAGUAGGGCAUAGCCCGGCGAAAGUCGGAUUAACACCCUAUGUUUUCCGUUGCGGGCAUCUAAUAUGGAACAAAGAUUUAUCGCUAAGGGAUGGGGAUGCGUCUGAUUAGGUAGUAGGCGGGGUAACGGCCCACCUAGCCCUCGAUCAGUAGGGGUUCUGAGAGGAAGGUCCCCCACAUUGGAACUGAGACACGGUCCAAACUCCUACGGGAGGCAGCAGUGAGGAAUAUUGGUCAAUGGCCGAGAGGCUGAACCAGCCAAGUAGCGUGCAAGGAUGACGGCCCUAUGGGUUGUAAACUGCUUUUAUGCGGGGAUAAAGUCGCCCACGUGUGGGUGUUUGCAGGUACCGCAUGAAUAAGGACCGGCUAAUUCCGUGCCAGCAGCAGC